AUGGCCGACAGCGUCUCAAAGCACUCCGGUUUUGGACAGUCCGACUGCAAAAACAAGGACAACACUUUAAAAUGAUCCCUUUUUGUGUCAAGCACAGGGCGUGGAGAGCUUCAUGCACACUCUCAGCAGGGAGUUGUAAUUAACUUCUUUGCUACAAAGAAUUAAGAACAAUUCCUAACAACAUAAAGAGUUGAGAGUACACUACAAAAACUGAAAUGUGGGGAAGCCAAGGCCUACAGUGACAGCUGACAGAGAAGCCUUUUGAAUGAAAGUUUCAUCGAAACUUCCAGUUUCGACAGACCUGUGCUUCCAUAUGAAAAGGAUGCUGUCAAAAAUCUUCAAACGAAUCAAUUUCUAACAGCAGUAGAAAAGCCAUUCAGUUCCAGUUGGGUUAUUUAUAUUUCUCCUCCAAGUAAUAUUAGCUGAAAGGUCUCAAUUUAGAAGAAAAUCAAAAAGCUGACAUCUUUCCAAGGAAGUGAUUGUGUGGCAGUGAUGGACUGAACAGCAUUUCUCGAAACCAGAUGUUGACAGUGAAACAAGAGAAGGACACAGUACCUGAAAACACCUCCACAUCUCUAAAAGAACACAGACUCUGGGUACCUUUAGGGCAUCCAGGGUGGGAUUCACAUCCUACCACUGCUUGUGUUCGGCAACUGGGGAAGGCAGGGUCUCGAUCUCUGGAGGAGCAGCCAGGAUGCCUGAAUUUUGGUGAAGAGAAUCUCCCCCACAAUAGGGAGUGACUGUGGAAGUUUCAUUUCCUGCCUGCAGCUUGUUUUGUGGUUUGGUGCUUCAGGUACACACAGUGGGUCCUACCACAGAGUUUCUUCCGAGUCAAUGCAGACCCUUCACCCUGUCAUUAUAACCUACAGAUAUCUGAAGGAACUCAACAAAUAAUUUUAUUCCAUAAAGGGCAUUCUCUCAACGUUCAGAACAUUGACAUUUGGGCAAGUGAUAGAAAAUCCCCACUCUGAUGCGGGAAAAAGUACAAAAUACUCUGAGAGAAUGUGGAGCCUCUUCCCUAUGUCUCAGUGCAAUGUUGGCUUGAAGAUGAGCAGUUCUUCAUCAAGAGGAACAUGGUCUUGGUCGUGCCUACUACGAUAAAUAGUGAUCUUUAGAGACAAACAACGAGGAGAAGUCUCCCAGUUUUGGGAAGAGCAAGUUCAGUGUUUGGCUUGGACACAACCAGCCAUGGUACCAUGCUGGCAGAACAUCAGCAAAAGAACAAUCCCUGGGUCAUCAAGUCCUCUUAGCACCAGAUGCAGUACUUUUGUUUUUAGUGAAAGUACAGCAGCAACUUUGCUGUUCAAGCACUAGAAACCUCAUUCAUAAAUCAUGCAGUCAGACAGAAUGGAGGCAUGUGGAUGUUGUAUCUUCUGCUUUUGUUUGUUUCUCAAUUCCUCAUGAAAUCAAACUGUACAAGGAUCUUUUCAACCUGCUAGAAAAACUAAACACCUCGACAGAAACUAUUCCUCCAUUUUACAUUCUGGAUUAUUGCAAACUUAAGUUUUCAAGGAACAGUUGGUUUUCUGUCUGAAUCCACUGACCAGCUGAGGAGCUGGAGGACCAGAGGGACCCCUCCUUGAUGCCCCAAGUACCUGAGAUGGUUCCAGAACCGUGUGUUCAGGCUCCACAGGACAGCAGGUCACUGCUUAGACUAGCAAGUCAUUCAGGUUUUUUUAAAGCUUAUAUAUAUUCCUCUUUUAAUAAUGUGCAAUAAAAAUUAAAAAAAUAACAUAAAUAGAUUUAAUAAAUGAAAAAAUAAAAAAACCAGAAAAGUAAAGGAAUGAGCACUCCUGUGUCACUGCGAAAGAUAUACAGUUACACGCAAACAACUGCAUUCAUAUUAUCCCUUUUAUCCUGUAAUUCCCUCUUCUCAUUUAACUAUAUAGCAUUGCUGAGAGCCUGUAUCUCCAGUGCUUUGCUACACUGUGGAAGUCACUCAGUUAACAGACAACCCAUUCCCCUGAGAUGAUCCAAACACCAAAGCUCCUCCUUCCAGUGAGAGGGUGUGAAAGCAUAUUGAACUUUAAUUCACACUGAAACAGUAUUGAAAUUUUUGACAUCAAACUGUCCAGCAUCCACAUGUUUAGCAGCAUUGCCAGCCUUGAAAAGCAAUAAAGGAGUUUUGACAACUAAUGUUAGCAAAGGCUAAAGAAAAAAAAUGCCUUUUCCCCAUUUCUCAGCUUUUAAGAAUUUAACUUUUUCAGAAUUUUCACUUCUUACAGCAUUUUUUUUUUCAAAAGAAAUACAGAGUGAAAAUUCACAGAAUUUCAAGUCUGAAAAAAAAGCCUGAAAAAUGGAAAUAUCUGAUGAACUGUAUUCACUAGUGUAUUAUAUACAGUGUGCUCAAAUACUCAGUAAUAAGUGCUAGAGGGGGAGAGAGGAGAAACAACACCUACCAUUUCACAGAACAGCAGUAAAAGGACUCAUAAUUAACACAUAAAUACCACAGUCCAUUUUUUGAUGCAACAACUAAUGGAAAUUGGCUAAUUUAAAAUGGGAUACAGGAAACUGCUGACAAACUUGUAUGUUAAAGGCCUAUAAAUGUAUCCCAUUACUGCCAGGAACAGCCAAUCCAGGUUUAUCUUCUGACAUUUUCUUAGAAAGCUGAAAGUCUUAAGGUAAUCUUCCCCACUGUGAGCAACCUGACAGAACCUAUGUUGUCACACAUAUUAUUAAAACCCAUUAUCCUCAUACUUUCUGCUCUCUGGCUUGCUCUUUUUUCCAAAGAAAUACACGAAACAAACUUAAUAC